GGGUUGUGAGGUUAAGCGACUAAGCGUACACGGUGGAUGCCCUGGCAGUCAGAGGCGAUGAAGGGCGUGCUAAUCUGCGAUAAGCGCCGGUAAGGUGAUAUGAACCGUUAUAACCGGCGAUACCCGAAUGGGGAAACCCAGUGUGACUCGUCACACUAUCAUUAACUGAAUCCAUAGGUUAAUGAGGCGAACCGGGGGAACUGAAACAUCUAAGUACCCCGAGGAAAAGAAAUCAACCGAGAUUCCCCCAGUAGCGGCGAGCGAACGGGGAGGAGCCCAGAGCCUGAAUCAGCAUGUGUGUUAGUGGAAGCGUCUGGAAAGGCGCGCGAUACAGGGUGACAGCCCCGUACACAAAAGCGCAUGUGCUGUGAGCUCGAUGAGUAGGGCGGGACACGUGGUAUCCUGUCUGAAUAUGGGGGGACCAUCCUCCAAGGCUAAAUACUCCUGACUGACCGAUAGUGAACCAGUACCGUGAGGGAAAGGCGAAAAGAACCCCGGCGAGGGGAGUGAAAAAGAACCUGAAACCGUGUACGUACAAGCAGUGGGAGCCCCACCACCAAAGCAUUCUCUGGUGUUGAAGGCCCUGCAAAGCAGCAUCGCGGUGGCGGAGCGUCGUUUGCGACGCCCAACACACAAAACAAGCGGUGAGUGCUUUGGGGUGGGGUGACUGCGUACCUUUUGUAUAAUGGGUCAGCGACUUAUAUUCUGUAGCAAGGUUAACCGUAUAGGGGAGCCGUAGGGAAACCGAGUCUUAACCGGGCGUUAAGUUGCAGGGUAUAGACCCGAAACCCGGUGAUCUAGCCAUGGGCAGGUUGAAGGUUGGGUAACACUAACUGGAGGACCGAACCGACUAAUGUUGAAAAAUUAGCGGAUGACUUGUGGCUGGGGGUGAAAGGCCAAUCAAACCGGGAGAUAGCUGGUUCUCCCCGAAAGCUAUUUAGGUAGCGCCUCGUGAAUUCAUCUUCGGGGGUAGAGCACUGUUUCGGCUAGGGGGUCAUCCCGACUUACCAACCCGAUGCAAACUGCGAAUACCGGAGAAUGUUAUCACGGGAGACACACGGCGGGUGCUAACGUCCGUCGUGAAGAGGGAAACAACCCAGACCGCCAGCUAAGGUCCCAAAGUCAUGGUUAAGUGGGAAACGAUGUGGGAAGGCCCAGACAGCC
rnacentral:rRNA from 1 species